UACGAAGGGGGCUAGCGUUGCUCGGAAUGACUGGGCGUAAAGGGCGCGUAGGCGGUUUGUACAGUCAGGUGUGAAAUCCCCAGGCUCAACCUGGGAACUGCGUCCGAUACUGGCAGGCUUGAAUCCGGGAGAGGGAUGUGGAAUUCCAGGUGUAGCGGUGAAAUGCGUAGAUAUCUGGAGGAACACCGGUGGCGAAGGCGGCAUCCUGGACCGGUAUUGACGCUGAGGCGCGAAAGCUAGGGGAGCAAACGGG
rnacentral:rRNA from 1 species